CACUUUCACGAGCGGCAAUUGCUAUACAGCUUCACAAAACAAAGCUUCUCUCUCCAAUCAAUUCUGUCAAAAUUAUUCAAUACUUUCCUUUCUCAAAUGUAUUUCUAAUAGAAGAACCCUAAAUGUUACGUAUCAUUCAUCUUAUCUCCAAUCUAUCACCAUAUUCGAUUGAACACUGGCAAUCAAAAUCGAUGAAGGAAACGUGGGGCUGUGGUGGUGCAGAUCUGGCUGGAAAAACGUUUUCAGAUCUCAAAAUCAUGGUGUCAGUGGUGGUGACAGUUGUUUUAUUUCGAUCAAUCUGUCUAUGAUUAUUCAAGCCUAAAUCAUGGAAGGGAUUAUUUAACCCCAAAUCAUAACCGGAGGAUCUGGAUUAGUUUGUGUGUACUGAUUACGUUAUUGGUGUUUAGAGGCUUCGAUAAGUGAUGAUCAAGAACCCUAAUUCUCUGCCCGUCUUCUACAAUAUUGAAUCGUCUCUGAAAUCUCAAAGGGUGUAUUGGUGUUUGAAGUUCUUGAAUCAUGAUUGUCUUUGAAAUCUCAAUUCUGCAAUGAUUUAACACGACCAUUCGAUUUCAGCCUAAUCGGUAUGGUACAGAUAUAGUGUCAUGGAGCAACAACGUGGAUACUGUUUUAAGGUAGACUGUUGUUUUAUG